GAUGAACGCUGGCGGCGUGCCUAAUACAUGCAAGUCGAGCGAACAGACGAGGAGCUUGCUCCUCUGACGUUAGCGGCGGACGGGUGAGUAACACGUGGAUAACCUACCUAUAAGACUGGGAUAACUUCGGGAAACCGGAGCUAAUACCGGAUAAUAUAUUGAACCGCAUGGUUCAAUAGUGAAAGACGGUUUUGCUGUCACUUAUAGAUGGAUCCGCGCCGCAUUAGCUAGUUGGUAAGGUAACGGCUUACCAAGGCAACGAUGCGUAGCCGACCUGAGAGGGUGAUCGGCCACACUGGAACUGAGACACGGUCCAGACUCCUACGGGAGGCAGCAGUAGGGAAUCUUCCGCAAUGGGCGAAAGCUUGACGGAGCAACGCCGCGUGAGUGAUGAAGGUCUUCGGAUCGUAAAACUCUGUUAUUAGGGAAGAACAAAUGUGUAAGUAACUAUGCACGCCUUGACGGUACCUAAUCAGAAAGCCACGGCUAACUACGU
rnacentral:rRNA from 1 species